AACCAACGUGGUAAUGCUGGCAUAAUAAUUCCCGGUUGCCAUUUUCUGACAUUUGAAAAGAUCUGAAGAUACGCCCCUUGGAUGCCUGCAGAGAAGCUCUGGGGCUUCAGUCAAUGACUCAGGGUAGCCACCGAACAUGAUGCUCGGGCAGUGGGUGCCACCUGGACUCCACUCUCCCCUCUCUCUGGGAUCAUAGAGUCCAAGGUGUUCUGUGGCCUCUCGGCCAAUCCCAGCAGCUCAGCGUGCAGAAGACCGAGGAGCCAUUGGUCAGUGUAGGAGGUGCCUGGAGUUUUGGAGAUGGGAUCCACAGGAAUUCAACACAACACGAAAUAAUCAACAAAUUCGGGGAAUGUUAAUCUGACCAUCACCAGUUACAAAUGAUGUUUCAUGCUACCUUCUAUUCCUGCCUUCAUAAAUCAAGGAAAAGAAAAAGAGAACAUAUAUCCCCCUACCUUUUGAUUUCCAACAGUCUACUGAGAGGCCAAGAUUAUUUGCAGGGAAAGAAAAGGGGUCAAAAUGUUUUGCCAGUAACUCCCAAAUCAUCUACAGCCAAGGAGAAAAGUGUUUCAAGACAGAGGUGCUCAAUGGUAUCAAAUACUGCCAACAGACCAAGUAAUACAUGCAUUGAAGUGUCUACUGGAUCUAGCUAUAUGAAUUUUUAAUUUAGGACACUUAGGCCAUACUGAAGCAAGGUGACAAAAUGAAUAGCUACAAUGUCUCGUGAAUCUUGGGUUUCCAUUCACCCUGGUAUUCAAGAGAAAUUCUUGCAUCAUGGAAGUUGCAGUUGGAUAGGACUUUCUCAGCUGAACACUGUCAUCUGCCAGAGCUUCAGGCAAGAACCCAGAACAGAUGAAACCCCAGACAUGACAAAAUAAGCCAAAGAAUACCAGGCCAAGGUGUGAAAGGCCAGAUGAGAACAAGCAGCGUACACGAUUCUGUUGCCAACAGAUCUCCCCUAACAGUGUCGUGCACCAAAUUUCCACAGUGAAUGUCAGGAAAAAAUGGCAAUUGAGGUGGGUGGUCAAAAGAGAAGCACAGUCUAUGAUGAAGUCACCCCAGAGAAGUCCUUUUUCCGUUUUCUCCUGAGAAAUUACCAGAAGAAAUUAAAAUCCUUUUGAGUAUUGCAUUUAUCUCUGCAGUAACAUUAUUUUUUCUUAAGGAAUCUCUAUCAAAUUUGCAUCUUGUCUAAUUUAGCAGGGAAUGUCACCAGGAUAAGACAACUGCAAAACCCAUUUGGGUGUGCCAAAUGACUUCAACCGAACCUCCAUGCAAACAACAUACAAGAUGCUUUCUUACUAAAUGCUCAAACAUCAAGUUCUACAUCCAGAACUGCCCCUCAACCCUCACCCUCUCGAACUCAGUAAAAAACAACCCUCUUUCUAGCUCUGCAUUUCCAAUGAAUGCCUCUUCCUCCAGACAUCCCUAGUUUUUGUUCAUGAUACUAGGACAUUCCUAAACUGGAAAUGUGAGAAUCAUGUGGACUGCUCGCUCCCUCCUUCAUUGCCUGAGUUUAAGCAAAUAAUAUUGAUUAGUUUUCCCCAA
rnacentral:lncRNA from 1 species